AGUCUGAGUGUGUGAAUGUGUCGAGAUAAGUGGGUGGAUGAGUGUGUGCUCGGAAGACCGUGUAUGUGAGUCAGGGCACGAGUGAGGAUCUCUGUAGGUCUGGCGAGGCCAGCGAGUGGUCAGCCACAGCUGGGGGAGAAACCCCUUCUCCCUGGAUGUGGAGGGCAGGUGCCUCUAGGCAGGCACAUUCGGCUGCACAGUGCCAGCGCCUGCACAGUACCCAGCCUUUGGGGCUCCUGGCUUCCUGGUGUCUGGCACGCUUCUGGGGGGCAGGGAAAGACUCCCAGGCACUGGUGUCCUGCCUGUGACCCCGUCUCUUCCCAGAGUUAAGACAAGGAUGAUGUCCUAUCAUUUUUGACAUGAAUGGGCCUGGAGGACAUUAGAUUAAGUGAAAUAAGCCAGGCGUGGUAAGACAAAUAGUGCAUGAGCUCACUGAGGUGGGGAAUCCAUAAAAGCUGAUCUCCUAGGAGUCGAGAGAACAACAGUGGUUACGGGAGAGGGGAGGGGAGGGGAGGAGGCAGGGAGUUCAGUCAACAGAACAAAGUUACAAGUGGAUAGGAGGAGAAGCCCUGGGAUUCUAUUGCACCCUAUGGUGACUACAGUUAACACAAUGCAUCCUAUGUCCUAAACCAGGUAUAAGAGCGGUUUGUAAUGCACUACAAUGAAACAAUGACAAAUAUGGGAGUCACCUGGUCCUGCCCAUCACGUGAGCCCUCCACAUACGGAAUCAUCAGCUCACAGCCCACAAACACGGACAACCUGAGAGGGGAGAAGCCCGGAGUUGGCACACGUGUGCAGUUGUGGCGAUGCCAGCGGGAAAUUCUCAUUUGGCACCUGGAACCCCCCCCCCCCCGUGAGGACCCUGAGGCAGGAGGGGAGAGCUGUGCUCUGGACAUGGCUUUGAAAACGCUGCUGCGCUGGACGAAGGACAGGGCGGCUCUGCGCUUCAUGCUGAGGACUUCACACGCAGGAGCCCACCCAGUGGCCCCCACGGCCCUUGGCAAAUUCGUCCAGCGGGAUCCUGGAUUAAAUUAACCAAGAGCUUCAAUCCUCAAGUUCCAGAAGCAACACAGUCUACUAACCAAGCAAAGUCUUCCUCCCUCCAAAGCUGUCACCUCUCCCAGCUAAUAGCCUGGAGCACCAGUUCGAGUCCUGGCAUCUGGUCCUGCUCCCUGCUAAUGCAGCUGGGAAGGCAGCGCAAGACGGCCCAAGUACACAGGCCCCUGCCACACACAUGGGAGACAGGGAUGGAACUCCUGGCUCCCGGCUUCUGCCUGGCCCAUCCCUGGCUGCUGCAGACAUUUGUGGGUGAACCAGCAGAUGAGAAGAUCAAUCUCUCCCUCUCUCGCUCUGUCACUCUACCUUUCAAAUGAAUGAGUAAAUAAUGUGGGCUUUUUUUUAAGUUCAUGCAAAAUGGAAUAAAGAUAAGCUUAUUUGGGUGCA
rnacentral:lncRNA from 1 species